rnacentral:rRNA from 1 species
UACGAAGGGUGCAAGCGUUAAUCGGAAUUACUGGGCGUAAAGCGUGCGCAGGCGGUUUUGUAAGCCAGAUGUGAAAUCCCCGGGCUUAACCUGGGAAUGGCAUUUGGGACUGCAAGGCUCGAGUGCGGCAGAGGAGACUGGAAUUCCUGGUGUAGCAGUGAAAUGCGUAGAUAUCAGGAGGAACACCGGUGGCGAAGGCGGGUCUCUGGGCCGAUAUUGACGCUGAGGAGCGAAAGCGUGGGGAGCGAACAGG